rnacentral:lncRNA from 1 species
UUUAGAGGUCAUCUAAUCUAAUGUUCCCAUUUUAUAGAUGCAGAAACUUAGGCUCAGGAAAGGAACUGACAUCUAAGGUCACAAAGGAAGCAAAUCAGCAAAGUCAGGCUUUCAACAGUGGUCAAGUAGCGACAGAACAUGGAACACCAGGAACAAGCAAAAUCCAAUGAUCGGUGCAAGAAGUUCAAGAUUUCUCAGCAGUUGUUUCAGUCUGGCCCACCAGCCCAUAGGUCCAGAGUGUGAAGGGCAUUGGACAAGCGCCCCCCCCCCCACUGGCAUCCAGGUCACAGAGUCCGGAACAGAAUCCAUGCCUGCUGUGAACACCACAUUGGAAACGUUUGUCAGUUGACAAAGUGCUCUCCGCACCCUCAGCCCUGGAGGGAGGGAGAGACACUCCAAUGUGGGGAGACUGCUCUUGGGGCUGCCAACGUUUACAGUGUGUUAGCGCCAAGACUCCUUGGGGCUGGAUCCUCUGAGACCGAUGACCGCCUCCAGAAGAGGAGCGUUAGCGACCAAGCUCAGGCUGCCUUUCUUCAUCCCUCGCCACCGAUGCUUCUCCUAACGGAGCUGCCCAUCCCAAGCACAGCAUGUCAGCCUCAGAUCAGCGAUUUUGCUGCAGCCAACAUGUAACCCAGUUCGAGAAUGAUGCUAAAGAGAACUGAAUGCUAACCACUCUGUGUGAGCCAGGCUCAGAAUUUCAAGAGACACAAAGUCCUGGCUCUCACUUGAUCAAACUACUGAGGUUAUUGAAUAAUACAC